UAUGUAGUCGCAUUGCAGGGCAAGCCUCCUGGCGGAAAACCAUUCGCAGUGAAACUUUCCCGGGAAACUUGUUUCCAGGAAAAAUAGGAUGCGAUCUACGAGUGUGAUUUCUGCCAAAGGAGAUUUGCCCUUCAAUUCUUCUGCAUAUAUGCAGAUGGGGUUCUCUUUUUCUUUUUUUUUUCUUUUCUCAAUUCUCAUUCUGUUCACACAGAUCAUUCUGGUUUUUAUCCGAAUUGCUGUUCGAGUUCAUGCCAUCAAUUCACGGAGGAACUCUCAGCUUCCACAGUCAUAAUCAUGAUCAAUCAGUUUCGAUCACACCAUCUGCCUCGACAAAUGAGUUAAAACCGUCUCGGACACAGAGAAAUGCUUUCACCUCCAGCAACGCAUAACUUACGAUUUGUUUACCUCAUAUAGUGAUCAGCCAAUUUAUUAAGGUGGCACAUAUGAGGUUAUAACAGCAUCUUUUUCAGUUAUUUUGGUGUAUGAUUAGAUCGAGAGCUUGCUUCAUCUGUGAAACAUGUGUGCACAUUUCGUGCACAAGGCCAACUUAUCAUAUAACCUUCCUUCAUUGUUAUCGUCAGAAAAUGAUCCACGCUGUUUCCCGACUUUACUUCUAAAAUGUUGAGAAUGAACUGCAAAAUGGAUGAGGAUCCAGAAGGAUGUUGAUAUCAGCAAUGUAUUGAUGUGCCAA